rnacentral:tRNA from 1 species
AAGUAUGAAGCGAUUUAUUGCAGUUAGUUUCGACCUAAUAUUAGGUAUUUAUACCCUUACUUU